rnacentral:rRNA from 1 species
GAACGGAGCUUAGAGAGCUUGCUUUUUAAGCUUAGUGGCGAACGGGUGAGUAACGCGUGAGUAACCUGCCCUAGAGUGGGGGACAACAGUUGGAAACGACUGCUAAUACCGCAUAAGCCCACGGUACCGCAUGGUACUGAGGGAAAAGGAUUUAUUCGCUUUAGGAUGGACUCGCGUCCAAUUAGCUAGUUGGUGAGGUAACGGCCCACCAAGGCGACGAUUGGUAGCCGGACUGAGAGGUUGAACGGCCACAUUGGGACUGAGACACGGCCCAGACUCCUACGGGAGGCAGCAGUGGGGGAUAUUGCACAAUGGGGGAAACCCUGAUGCAGCGACGCCGCGUGGAGGAAGAAGGUUUUCGGAUUGUAAACUCCUGUCGUUAGGGACGAUAAUGACGGUACCUAACAAGAAAGCACCGGCUAACUACGUGCCAGCAGCCGCGGUAAAACGUAGGGUGCAAGCGUUGUCCGGAAUUACUGGGUGUAAAGGGAGCGCAGGCGGGAAGACAAGUUGGAAGUGAAAACCAUGGGCUCAACCCAUGAAUUGCUUUCAAAACUGUUUUUCUUGAGUAGUGCAGAGGUAGAUGGAAUUCUCCGGUGUAGCGGUGGAAUGCGUAGAUAUCGGGAGGAACACCAGUGGCGAAGGCGGUCUACUGGGCACCAACUGACG